GAGUAUCAAUUGGAGGGCAAGUCUGGUGCCAGCAGCCGCGGUAAUUCCAGCUCCAAUAGCGUAUAUUAAACUUGUUGCAGUUAAAAAGCUCGUAGUUGAAUUUCUGCUGUAUCGUUUUCCUCUGCUUGACAGUUGGAUUUCGUUAUGGCUUAGUUGGGUUACAGUUUCUGUUACCUGACGUUUACUUUGAGAAAAUUAGAGUGCUUCAAGCAGGCUUUUGCCUUGAAUACUUUAGCAUGGAAUAAUGGAGUAGGACUUUGGUUCUAUUUUGUUGGUUUUAGGAGCCAGAGUAAUGGUUAAUAGGAACAGUUGGGGGCAUUCGUAUUUGACUGUCAGAGGUGAAAUUCUU
rnacentral:rRNA from 1 species